rnacentral:rRNA from 1 species
UACGAAGGGGGCUAGCGUUGUUCGGAAUUACUGGGCGUAAAGCGCGCGCAGGCGGCUAUCCAAGUCAGUGGUGAAAGCCCGGAGCUCAACUCCGGAACUGCCAUUGAAACUGUUUAGCUUGAGGAUGAGAGAGGUGAGUGGAAUUCCCGAAGUAGAGGUGAAAUUCGUAGAUAUUGGGAAGAACACCGGUGGCGAAGGCGGCUCACUGGCCCGUAACUGACGCUCAUGCACGACAGCGUGGGGAUCAAACAGG